rnacentral:rRNA from 1 species
UACAGAGGUGGCAAGCGUUGUUCGGAUUUAUUGGGCGUAAAGGGUCCGUAGGCGGUUUGAAAAGUCAGAUGUGAAAGCCCACAGCUCAACUGUGGAACUGCAUUUGAAACUUUCAGACUAGAGUAUGAGAGGGGUUAAGGGAAUUCCCGGUGUAAGGGUGAAAUCUGCAGAGAUCGGGAGGAACACCAGUCGCGAAGGCGCUUAACUGGCUCAUUACUGACGCUCAGGGACGAAAGCUAGGGUAGCAAACGGG